AUACGGAGGAUGCGAGCGUUAUCCGGAUUUAUUGGGUUUAAAGGGUGCGUAGGCGGUUUGUCACGUCAGCGGUGAAACGCAAGGGCUUAACCCUUGACCUGCCGUUGAAACUGAUGGACUAGAAUGCGGAUGCUGUGGGAGGAAUGUGUGGUGUAGCGGUGAAAUGCAUGGAUAUCACACAGAACACCGAUUGCGAAGGCAUCUCACAAAUCCGUGAUUGACGCUGAGGCACGAAAGUGUGGGGAUCAAACAGGAUUAGAUACCCUGGUAGUCCACACUGUAAACGAUGAUGACUCGCUGUCGGCGAUAUACAGUCGGUGGCCAAGCGAAAGCGAUAAGUCAUCCACCUGGGGAGUACGACCGCAAGGUUGAAACUCAAAUGAAUUGACGGGG
rnacentral:rRNA from 1 species